rnacentral:rRNA from 1 species
UACAGAGGUCCCAAGCGUUGUUCGGAUUCAUUGGGCGUAAAGGGCGCGUAGGCGGCGCAACAAGUCACUUGUGAAAUCUCCGGGCUUAACUCGGAACGGUCAAGUGAUACUGUCGUGCUAGAGUACAGAAGGGGCAACUGGAAUUCUCGGUGUAGCGGUGAAAUGCGUAGAUAUCGAGAGGAACACCUGCGGCGAAGGCGGGUUGCUGGGCUGAUACUGACGCUGAGGCGCGAAAGCUAGGGGGAGCGAACGGG